GACGAACGCUGGCGGCGUGCUUAACACAUGCAAGUCGAACGGAAAGGCCCUGCUUUUGUGGGGUGCUCGAGUGGCGAACGGGUGAGUAACACGUGAGUAACCUGCCCUUGUCUUUGGGAUAACUUCAGGAAACUGGGGCUCAUACCGGAUAGGAGCUCCUGCUGCAUGGUGGGGGUUGGAAAGUUUCGGCGGUUGGGGAUGGACUCGCGGCUUAUCAGCUUGUUGGUGGGGUAGUGGCUUACCAAGGCUUUGACGGGUAGCCGGCCUGAGAGGGUGACCGGCCACAUUGGGACUGAGAGAGGGCCCAGAAUCCUACGGGAGGCAGCAGUGGGGAAUAUUGCACAAUGAGCGGAAGCCUGAUGCAGCAGCGCCGCGUGCGGGAUGACGGCCUUCGGGGUGUAAACCGCUUUCGCCUGUGACGAAGCGGGAGUGACGGUAAUGGGUAAAGAAGCACCGGCUAACUACGUG
rnacentral:rRNA from 1 species